rnacentral:tRNA from 1 species
UCCCACAUGGUCUAGUGGUUAGGAUACCUGGCUCUUACCCAGGAGACCCGGGUUCAUUUCCCGGCGUGGGAA